GGAUGGGACUCUGGAAAGAGCCUUUAAAGGCCACCGUAGAAGUAAAGCUUUCAGGUAAAAAUACAGAGGGUAUAGG
rnacentral:ncRNA from 2 species